rnacentral:ncRNA from 2 species
CAUCACACCUCACGCGUGGGCAUCACCAGGAAUCCGGCGGAAAUCCGGAGCGGUCGCGCCACUGUGACCCGUGCCCGUCCUCGGACGGCACGGGAAGUCAGACCCUGGCCCACACCAUCUGAUCGGG